UCCUACGGGAGGCAGCAGUGAGGAAUAUUGGUCAAUGGGCGGAAGCCUGAACCAGCCAUGCCGCGUGGUGGAAGGAGGCCCUAUGGGUCGUAAACAUCUUUUGUGCGGGAGCAAUAAGGGCCACGCGUGGUCCGAUGAGAGUACCGUACGAAUAAGCAUCGGCUAACUCCGUGCCAGCAGCCGCGGUAAUACGGAGGAUGCAAGCGUUAUCCGGAUUUAUUGGGUUUAAAGGGAGCGCAGGCCGGGUGCUAAGCGUGCUGUGAAAUGCCGCGGCUCAACCGUGGCAGUGCAGCGCGAACUGGCUCUCUUGAGUGUGCGGUAGGAAGGCGGAAUUCGUGGUGUAGCGGUGAAAUGCUUAGAUAUCACGAAGAACCCCGAUUGCGAAGGCAGCUUUCCGCAGCAUUACUGACGCUGAGGCUCGAAGGUGCGGGUAUCGAACAGGAUUAGAUACCCUGGUAGUCC
rnacentral:rRNA from 1 species